UGUCUGGGUGGCAACGCUACACUGAUGUAUUCAACGAGUCUACAUAGGCUCGAGUAAUCUUUGAAAUCUCAUUGUGAUGGGGAUAGAUCAUUGCAAUUGUCGGUCUUCAAUGAGAAAUUCCUAGUAAGUGCGAGUCAUCAACUCGUGUUGACUAUGUCUCUGCCCUUUGUACACAUCACCCGUCAUUCCUACCGAUUGAAUGGUCCAAUGAAGUGUUUGGAUUGUAGUGACGUAGGCUAUUCGUUGCUCGCAACAUUGUUAGAAGUCCACUGAACCUUAUCUUUUAGAGACUAAAAUGAUAAGAUUUUUAACAACUCAGCAAGUUUGAUGUAAAACAUUGUAUAAAUUUUUCAACUCAAUGCAAAAGUUAUCACAUUGUAGAAAUACUUUCACGAUGGAGAAUUAGGGUUCAAUUCAGAAGAAGGAGCCUGAGAAACGACUACCACAUCCAAGGAAGGCAACAGGCAUGCAAAUUACCUAAUCCUAACACGGGGAGGUAGUGAUAAUAAAUAACAAUACCAAACCCAUUGAGUCUGAUAAUUGGAAUGAGUACAAUCUAAAUCUGGUGCUAGCAGUCGUAGUAAUUCCAACUCCAAUGGCA
rfam:Glycine soja cultivar W05 scaffold432_18, whole genome shotgun sequence.